CCUUGCUUGUGUUUUUCCAGUGCCAAGCGAUUGUGGCGUGGCCUCGUACAUUGUUUUCUUCACUCACUCAUUGAGUAAUCGAUUGGGUGGGUUAUGGAUCGACGUGCGUGGAUGCUGCCACUUGUACGCAAUAGGCAUAUGAGUGGUGUUAUGGUUGUGCGUGUUGGCAGGCUCCGUGCUCGAUGCAUCAAAUUGUCGACCCGUCAUUCUCUUCAAUCUCUCCCCAUGCGAUCAUCGUACCCCAAGGGUGCAAUCGAGAUCCUGUGCUAAAUACCUGAAUCGAUGGAAAUUGGAUGUCUUGCCAUCCCUCAUCCGUCUCAUGUCCUGAGGGGUUACGGGUCAGACAUCAAUCAUGGCCGGUGUCCAAAGUGCACCACCCAAUCCUCUGUGACCUUAUUGGUGCACCGGUGUUCAAUCAUGCUCUCGGAUGCAAAACGUUUCGAGGGCACAGGCUCUCGACCCCCGUUCAUCCAAUGCUAUGCAUUUCACAUGCUCGACACGCACGAUGCUUGUGCUUCACAUUGGGCUCUCUCUACCAUUUGAUCAGUGUAUCAAGGCCCAUACGAUGCCAACAUCCUGAAGGAAUGCUACCUGGUUUGAUCCUGCCAGUAGUCAUAUGUUUGUCUUAAAGAUUAAGCCAUGCAUGUGUAAGUAUGAACUAAUUUAGACUGUGAAACUGUGAAUUGCUCAUUAAAUCAAUUAUAGUUUGUUUGAUAGUAUCUACUACUCGAAUAAUCAUAGUAAUUCUAGAGCUAAUACAUGCAACAAACCUCGACUUUUGGAAGGAAUGCAUUUAUUAGAUAAAAGGUUGACACAGGCUACGCCCUUUGCUCUGAUGAUUCAUGAUAACUCGACGGAUUGCACGACCUUUACGUUGGUGACGCAUCAUUCAAAUUUUUGCCCUAUCAACUUUCGAUGGGAGGAUAGUGGCCUACUAUGGUGGUGACGAGUGACGGAGAAUUAGGGUUGGAAGGGAUGCAUUUAUUAGAUAAAUGGUCGACGCGGGCUAUGCCCGUUGCUCUGAUGAUUCAUGAUAACUCGAUGGAUCGCACGACCUUUGUGCCGGUGACGCAUCAUUCAAAAUUUUACCCUAUCAACUUUUGAUGGUAGGAUAGUGGCCUACUAUGGUGGUGACGGGUGACAGGUGAUGCAGAAUUAGGGUUCGAUUCCGGAGAGGGAGCCUAAGAAACGGCUACCACAUCCAAGGAAGGCAGUAGGCGCACAAAUUACCCAAACCUGACACGGAGAGGUAGUGACAAUAAAUAACAAUACCGAGCUCUAUGAGUCUGGUAAUUGGAAUGAGUACAAUCUAAAUCCCUUAACGAGGAUCCAUUAGAGGGCAAGU